rnacentral:rRNA from 1 species
GAUGAACGCUGGCGGCGUGCCUAACACAUGCAAGUCGAGCGGAGAUAAGAGGAGUACUUGUACGAAUUUUAUCUUAGCGGCGGACGGGUGAGUAACACGUGAGUAACCUGCCUUUUACUGGGGAAUAACAUCGAGAAAUCGGUGCUAAUACCGCAUAAUGUCACGAGGCUGCAUGGCCAUGUGACCAAAGGAGUAAUUCGGUAAAAGAUGGACUCGCGUCCGAUUAGGUAGUUGGUGAGGUAACGGCCCACCAAGCCUACGAUCGGUAGCCGAACUGAGAGGUUGAUCGGCCACAUUGGGACUGAGACACGGCCCAGACUCCUACGGGAGGCAGCAGUGGGGAAUAUUGGGCAAUGGGGGAAACCCUGACCCAGCAACGCCGCGUGAAGGAUGAAGGUCUUCGGAUUGUAAACUUCUUUGAUCAGGGACGAAGAAAUGACGGUACCUGAAGAACAAGCCACGGCUAACUACGUG